UACGUAGGGUCCGAGCGUUGUCCGGAAUUAUUGGGCGUAAAGGGCUCGUAGGCGGUUUGUCACGUCGGGAGUGAAAACUCAGGGCUCAACCCUGAGCGUGCUUCCGAUACGGGCAGACUAGAGGUAUGCAGGGGAGAACGGAAUUCCUGGUGUAGCGGUGGAAUGCGCAGAUAUCUGGAGGAAUACCGGUGGCGAAGGCGGCAUCUGGACCGAGAUUGACGCUGAUGAGCGAAAGCUAAGGGGAGCAAACGGGG
rnacentral:rRNA from 1 species